GGCUNNNUGGUAACAGGAAGCAGCUUGCUGCUUUGCUGACGAGUGGCGGACGGGUGAGUAAUGUCUGGGAAACUGNCCUGAUGGAGGGGGAUAACUACUGGAAACGGUAGCUAAUACCGCAUAACGUCUUCGGACCAAAGAGGGGGNACCUUCGGGCCUCUUGCCAUCGGAUGUGCCCAGAUGGGAUUAGCUAGUUGGUGGGGUAACGGCUCACCAAGGCGACGAUCCCUAGCUGGUCUGAGAGGAUGACCAGCCACACUGGAACUGAGACACGGUCCAGACUCCUACGGGAGGCAGNCAGUGGGGAAUAUUGCACAAUGGGCGCAAGCCUGAUGCAGCCAUGCCGCGUGUAUGAAGAAGGCCUUCGGUUGUAAAGUACUUUCAGCGGGGAGGAAGGGGAUGAGGUUAAUAACCUUGUCCAUUGACGUUACCCGCAGAAGAAGCACCGGCUAACUCCNGUGCCAGCAGCCGCGGUAAUACGGAGGGUGCAAGCGUUAAUCGGAAUUACUGGGCGUAAAGCGCACGCAGGCGGCGUGUCAAGUCGGAUGUGAAAUCCCCGGGCUCAACCCGGGAACUGCAUUCGAAACUGGCAUGCUAGAGUCUUGUAGAGGGGGGUAGAAUUCCAGGUGUAGCGGUGAAAUGCGUAGAGAUCUGGAGGAAUACCGGUGGCGAAGGCGGCCCCCUGGACAAAGACUGACGCUCAGGUGCGAAAGCGUGGGGAGCAAACAGAUUAGAUACCCUGGUAGUCCACGCCGUAAACGAUGUCGACUUGGAGGUUGUGCCCUUGAGGCGUGGCUUCCGGAGCUAACGCGUUAAGUCGACCGCCUGGGGAGUACGGCCGCAAGGUUAAAACUCAA
rnacentral:rRNA from 1 species